rnacentral:rRNA from 1 species
AUUGAACGCUAGCGGGAUGCUUUACACAUGCAAGUCGAACGGCAGCGCGGACUUCGGUCUGGCGGCGAGUGGCGAACGGGUGAGUAAUGUAUCGGAACGUGCCCAGUAGCGGGGGAUAACUACGCGAAGGCGUAGCUAAUACCGCAUACGCCCUACGGGGGAAAGCGGGGGAUCGUAAGACCUUGCACUAUUGGACCGGCCGAUAUCGGAUUAGCUAGUUGGUGAGGUAACGGCUCACCAAGGCGACGAUCCGUAGCUGGUUUGAGAGGACGACCAGCCACACUGGGACUGAGACACGGUCCAGACUCCUACGGGAGGCAGCAGUGGGGAAUUUUGGACAAUGGGGGCAACCCUGAUCCAGCCAUCCCGCGUGUGCGAUGAAGGCCUUCGGGUUGUAAAGCACUUUUGGCAGGAAAGAAACGUCGCGGGCUAAUACCCCGUGGAACUGACGGUACCUGCAGAAUAAGCACCGGCUAACUACGUG